CAGCCGUAAACUAUGCGCGUUAGGUGUAUCGGUGACCACGAGUUACCGAGGUGCCGAAGGGAAACCGUGAAACGUGCCGCCUGGGAAGUACGGUCGCAAGGCUGAAACUUAAAGGAAUUGGCGGGGGAGGCACCACAACAGGUGGAGCCUGCGGUUUAAUUUGGACUCAACGCCGGGAAGCUCACCGGAUAGGACAGCAGAAUGAUUGCCGGGCUGAAGACCCUGCAUGACUAGCUGAGAGGUGGUGCAUGGCGUCAGUGACU
rnacentral:rRNA from 1 species